AUUGAACGCUGGCGGCAGGCCUAACACAUGCAAGUCGAGCGGAUGAAGGGAGCUUGCUCCUGGAUUCAGCGGCGGACGGGUGAGUAAUGCCUAGGAAUCUGCCUGGUAGCGGGGGCUAACGUCCGGAAACGGGCGCUAAUACCGCAUACGUCCUGAGGGAGAAAGUGGGGGAUCUUCGGACCUCACGCUCUCAGAUGAGCCUAGGUCGGAUUAGCUAGUUGGUGGGGUAAAGGCCUACCAAGGCGACGAUCCGUAACUGGUCUGAGAGGAUGAUCAGUCACACUGGAACUGAGACACGGUCCAGACUCCUACGGGAGGCAGCAGUGGGGAAUAUUGGACAAUGGGCGAAAGCCUGAUCCAGCCAUGCCGCGUGGGUGAAGAAGGUCUUCGGAUUGUAAAGCACUUUAAGUUGGGAGGAAGGGCAGUAAGUUAAUACCUUGCUGUUUUGACGGUACCAACAGAAUAAGCACCGGCUAACUUCGUG
rnacentral:rRNA from 1 species